rnacentral:rRNA from 1 species
GACGAACGCUGGCGGCGUGCUUAACACAUGCAAGUCGAACGAAGUGGCGAACGUGUGUGUAACGCGUAAUCCACCUGCCCUUCAGAGGGGGACAACAGUUGGAAACGACUGCUCAUACCGCAUACUGAAGGCGGGGAUUGCGUCUGAUUAGCUAGUUGGGGGGGUAACGGCCCACCAAGGCGAGGAUCAGUAGCCGGUCUGAGAGGAUGAACGGCCACAUUGGGACUGAGAAACGGCCCAGACGCCUACGGGAGGCAGCAGUGGGGAAUCUGCCGCAAUGGACGAAAGUCUGACGGAGCAACGCCGCGUGAGUGAUGACGGCCUUCGGGUUGUAAAGCUCUGUUAAUCGGGACGCGGUACCGGAAUAGAAAGCCACGGCUAACUACGUGCCAGCAGCCGCGGUAAUUC